GACGAACGCUGGCGGCGUGCUUAACACAUGCAAGUCGAACGGAAAGGCCCUGCUUUUGUGGGGUGCUCGAGUGGCGAACGGGUGAGUAACACGUGAGUAACCUGCCCUUGACUUUGGGAUAACUUCAGGAAACUGGGGCUAAUACCGGAUAGGAGCUCCUGCUGCAUGGUGGGGGUUGGAACGUUUCGGCGGUUGGGGAUGGACUCGCGGCUUAUCAGCUUGUUGGUGGGGUAGUGGCUUACCAAGGCUUUGACGGGUAGCCGGCCUGAGAGGGUGACCGGCCACAUUGGGACUGAGGUACGGCCCAGACUCCUACGGGAGGCAGCAGUGGGGAAUAUUGCACAAUGGGCGGAAGCCGGAUGCAGCAACGCCGCGUGCGGGAUGACGGCCUUCGGGUUGUAAACCGCUUUCGCCUGUGACGAAGCGUGAGUGACGGUAAUGGGUAAAGAAGCACCGGCUAACUACGUG
rnacentral:rRNA from 1 species